CCUACGGGAGGCAGCAGUGAGGAAUAUUGGUCAAUGGACGAGAGUCUGAACCAGCCAAGUAGCGUGAAGGAUGACUGCCCUAUGGGUUGUAAACUUCUUUUAUAUGGGAAUAAAAUGUUCCACGUGUGGGAUUUUGUAUGUACCAUAUGAAUAAGGAUCGCCUAACUCCGUGCCAGCAGCCGCGGUAAUACGGAGGUUCCGAGCGUUAUCCGGAUUUAUGGGGUUUAAAGGGAGCGUAGGUGGAUUGUUAAGUCAGUUGUGAAAGUUUGCGGCUCAACCGUAAAAUUGCAGUGUAAACUGACAGUCUUGAGUACAGUAGAGGUGAGCGGAAUUCGUGGUGUAGCGGUGAAAUGCUUAGAUAUCACGAAGAACACCGAUUGCGAAGGCAGUUCACUGGACUGCAACUGACACUGAGGCUCGAAAGUGUGGGUAUCAAACAGGAUUAGAUACCCGGGUAGUC
rnacentral:rRNA from 1 species